ensembl:lncRNA
GCGGCGUCCUGAUGGCGUCCCGGUGACGUGGCGUUCUGAUGGCGUCCUGUUGGUCUGCAGACAAGGAGAAGAGACGUGAGGAGGAUCAUCAGGAUGUGUCUGUGUGUACAUCUAAUUAUCUGGAUUUGCUCCUGAGGGGUUGACGCGGCGUCCUGAUGGCGUCCUGAUGGCGUCCUGAUGGCGUCCUGAUGGCGUCCCGAUGACGUGGUGUCCUGAUGGCGUCCCGGUGACGUGGCGUCCUGAUGACGUCCUGUUGGUCUGCAGACAAGGAGAAGAGACAUCUGGAUUUGCUCCUGAGGGGUUGACGCGGCGUCCUGAUGGCGUCCUGAUGGCGUCCUGAUGGCGUCCUGAUGGCGUCCCGAUGACGUGGUGUCCUGAUGGCGUCCCGGUGACGUGGCGUCCUGAUGACGUCCUGUUGGUCUGCAGACAAGGAGAAGAGACGUGAGGAGGAUCAUCAGGAUGUGUCUGGGUGUACAUCUAAUUGUUAGUGUGUCUGUGUGUAGAUCUAAAUGUUAGUGUGUGUCUUUGUUUAGAACCAAAUGUUAGUGUGUCUGUGUGUACAUCUAAUUGUUAGUGUGUCUGUGUGUACAUCUAAUUGUUAUUGUGUCUUUGUGUACAUCUAAUUGUUAUUGUGUCUUAGUGUACAUCUAAAUAUUAGUGCGUGUCUGUGUGUAGAACCAAAUGAUAGUGUGUCUGUGUGUACAUCUAAAUGUUAGUGUGUCUGUGUGCACCUCAAUAUUAGAGUGU